UACGGAGGGUGCAAGCGUUGUUCGGAAUUACUGGGCGUAAAGGGCGUGUAGGCGGUGGUGCAAGUCAGAUGUGAAAUACUUCGGCUCAACCGGAGAACUGCAUCUGAAACUGCACCGCUAGAGUACAGAAGAGGGAAACGGAAUUCCCGGUGUAGAGGUGAAAUUCGUAGAUAUCGGGAGGAACACCAGUGGCGAAGGCGGUUUCCUGGUCUGAUACUGACGCUGAGGCGCGAAAGUAUGGGGAG
rnacentral:rRNA from 1 species